AUUGAACGCUGGCGGCAGGCCUAACACAUGCAAGUCGAGCGAGCGGCGGACGGGUGAGUAAUGUAUGGGGACUGCCCGAUAGCGGGGGAUAACUACUGGAAACGGUAGCUAAUACCGCAUACUAUCGGAUAACCCAUAUGGGAUUGGCUAGUAGGUGAGGUAAUGGCUCACUUAGGCGACGAUCCCUAGCUGGUCUGAGAGGAUGAUCAGCCACACUGGGACUGAGACACGGCCCAGACGCCUACGGAGGCAGCAGUGGGGAAUAUUGCACAAUGGGCGCAAGCCUGAUGCAGCCAUGCCGCGUGUAUGAAGAAGGCCUUAGGGUUGUAAAGCACUUUCAGUCGGGAGGCGUUACCGGCAGAAGAAGCACCGGCUAACUCCGUGCCAGCAGCCGCGGUAAUUC
rnacentral:rRNA from 1 species